GGUCAUUUCAGCAGCCCAUAUAUUAAAAUUUAGAGGACGAGAAGCUUAGCAAGACCCCUGUGUGAAGAUGACAGCCUAAUCCGUGAAGCAGUCCAUAAUUUU